rnacentral:rRNA from 1 species
AUGGACGCCCGGCUGAGCCUAGUGCAACAGGUCCUCUCGGCCAUGCUUGUCUUCCAAAUGAUCGCCAUCGACCCUCCAGUCUGGCUACGUAAAGCUGUUGAUAAGGUCCGAAGAGGAUUCCUUUGGGAGAGCAAAGAGGUCGCCCCGGGCGGGAAAUGUUUGGUAAACUGGAGGGCCGUAUGCAGACCGCGAGAGCUCGAAGGGCUCGACAUCACCAAUAUUGAGGCACAGAGCACAAUGCUUAGAAUGAGAUGGCUUUGGCAAACAUGGACCGAACCUGAAAAGCCAUGG